rnacentral:lncRNA from 1 species
GAUGCAGUGUAACUCCGCAUUGGCUUGCUGCAUAUUCUUGAUUUUGGGUGCAUGGAUAUCUUUUGAUUCUCGAUGGAAACAUUUUAUGCCUAUUUCUAAUCGUAGGAACAAUUAUUCUAUUGCGACUGAUCUUAAUAUGAUGAUUCUAUCCCUUUGACGAGUAGACUCUUGAUUUACGCCGAUAGAUUAGAUCAGCAUAGUUUG